AUGGUGUCUGUGCGUUAUCUGUAUACCAUUGCAGUUUAGAAAUAUAUAAUACUUCAGUAUACCAUUGCAUAUAUUCAAUGACGUUAUUACUUGAUCAUGGCCUCAAUAACGUCAUUUCUGAAUUUGUAUCUAUCUAGAAAGUAAUCCAGAGCUUAUUCACCGCAUAGCAAAAAUCUGAGGUUUUAUACACGUCAACACUGGUAUAAUUCUUCUCUGCGACGACAACACUGGUAUAAUUGUUCUCCAAAUGGAUAUGGCUCAGCAGCACCAUAUUAGUAGCAGAGUUGUUUUUCAAAACCUGAGGUUUUAUGGCUUUGAAGAAUGUUUUGUGCUGAUAUCUAUUUUUUGGGAUAGAAAAUAAAAUAACACUGCUAUAAUUGUUCUCUUCCAAAUUAUGAUUCACAAUGCAUACACUGGUAUAAUUGUUCUCUUCAAGCUCCUGCUCCCAGCCUCACCAUUACUUUUUGUCUAUAUGCAUUAGUAGUAUCUCUAGAUACACUAAUUCGAUCUGAGACAGUUCCUUGUGACUUCGUGACUGAAGUGAGCAUCUUUCUUUUUGAUACAGUUGUAGAAAUAUCUUUAUUUGUCGGCUUUUAAUUUUUUUGGUUAAUAAAUAGAAAGGAAGAUAUAGCAAAAAAUAAAUUAUAAGCUCUGAAGGUCAAAAAGAUCAGCAUUCAGUCAUGAAUCUGCUCCAGGAUGGAUUAAAAUCAUUUUUUCUCCAAAUGCUUUCACUGGCGCAGAUCCUCGUGCUCCCCGCAGGGCGCUUCAUGGGUCCGCAGGGCUCAUGGGCCAAUCUCAUUCGAGGUGCUUCUCUAUCUUUAGGAGUUGUCCAGCAGAAAAGUACUGCCAUGGCUGCAAUGUGAACUUGUGACAUGAGCCUAUUGAACAGACGGAUGUAGGCAUCAAUGGCUUCCUAACCAAGAGUUUCCUGGUUACCAGCCAAACCAAUCCAGCGAAUGAGAUUGGCCUGUAACCAAGUCAUAUAGAUUUAGGUUAUUAAAAUUCCUAAGGAGCACUUAUUUUUUGUGAAUGUUUCUUGUUUUUUUAUCAGGAGCAUGUUGAGCUUGAGAAGAGAUACCGGGAGCUAACUGACUUGCUGUACCACAAGCAAACACAAUUAGAAUCCAUGGCCAGCGAAAAGGCCGGAUUGGAGUUCCAACUGGAGAAAUAAUUGAAACAAUUUCGUGAAGUGCAGGUCGAAGCAGAAAGGAGUAAAGCUACUCGCAGAUCAGCAUCGUCGUGGGAAGAAGAUACUAAUAUCAAGGUAUUAGAGUAUGUUAACUGUGUUGCACCUGAAAAUUGUGUUUUUCAUCAUUCUUGGAUUUCAUGAUAAUUGAUGUUAUCCGGUCUUAAAUGUACCCAUUUAUUUGCCAUACAUUCUUAGACAAAU